rnacentral:lncRNA from 1 species
AUGCCCAGUGAGUGUUUUCACUGGACUGAGUCUUGCCUGGCAAAGAAAGAUCUUCUAUAUAACCAAAGACACGAGGUGGCUGUAAAACAGAUGCCUCAGCAUGUAGCAGGGGACAAUGGCAUUUUCAAAGGGGAAAAUUCAGGCCGGAUGCAGUGGCUCACACCUGUAGUCCCAACACUCUGGAAGGCUGAGGUGGGAGGAUUUGCUUUGGGCCAGGAGGUCAAGGCUGCAGUGAGCCAUGGUCCCAUCACUGCACUCCAGCCUGGGCAACAGAGGAAGACCCUGUCUCUAAAAAAGACAGGAAAUACCACAUGGUCCCUUAGUCUCCUUUCAGGAGGCACUGUGGUCAGUUUUUCAUUUGUCCACCUGUCUUGAUGUCUCAGGGUCUAAAUAAUUGCUUUGUAGUAGGAGAACCUGUUAAGACAGCCACGUGCGAAAGUGCCAGAGAGAUCAUCCUGGGGUUUCUGGAUAGACGGCUUUGUAAACAAGUCAUACUUUUUAAUUGCUUUGUCAGGAGGAUCCCUCUUUGAGCAAAGGUGACAGGGACUGAAUGCAGGAGCACUGGGCCUCUGUUUGGUCUGGCAGAGGGCUCCCAGCACUUGUCCUCAGCCUCCAGAGCACCCCUCAGAUUCCAGGCACAUAGUGACAAUUAAACACACACAAUGGCACGGCCAUGCUCACUGAGACCAAGGCAGGCUGGCUGCUUCCCAGAACAGCCCCCCCACACCAGGCCACGCAGAACAAAGGGCCUGGCCCAUCUGUACCUCGCACUGAAUGCCUCCUGCUCCAAAGGCUUUGCUCUGCUUCUCCAAUGCCCCGGGAAGCCCUUGCACAGACAAAACUCAGAGUUCCAGGGGAGCCCGUCCUGACAUUAAUGUGAUAAUGAAUUCUGGAUGCCUCUGACAGAUGCCACAAAGCAGUGGGUUCGUGGGAUGCUAACUUGGCAGGGCUAGGGCAGAGCCGUGUGGACUCCAUGUGGAUGAUGGGACCACGGGACGGGGUCAGCAACACACCUGAGCCUGUCCACGUGGGUCCCUUUGAUUGAACUUUUUCUUCCAGUCAUAAGAAAGAAGUGUGUGUCACGGCUCCAUGCAGAUAGUAGAGAAUCCCGCUGUCUUUCUGCACACACAAACAUGCCCAAGUGGCCAGGUUUAUCUAUAUGCAGAUGAUGGAGAAUCCUGCUAUCUUCCCACACACCAGAACACGCCCAGGUGCCCGGGUUCAUCUCCAUGCGGAUGGUGGAGAAAUCCCACUGUCUCCACGCACACCUGAACACUCCCAGGUCCUCAGGCUCAUCUCUAUGCAGAUGGUGGAGAAUCCUGCUGUCUCCCCGGACACCUGAACAUGCCCAGGCGCCCAGGUUCAUCUCUACACAGAAAGUGGAGAAUCCCGCUGUCUUCCCACACACCUGAAC